AUUGAACGCUGGCGGCAUGCCUUACACAUGCAAGUCGAGCGGCAGCGCGGGGGCAACCCUGGCGGCGAGCGGCGGACGGGUGAGUAAUACAUCGGAACGUGUCCUUUCGUGGGGGAUAACCAGUCGAAAGACUGGCUAAUACCGCAUGAGAUCUCACGAUGAAAGCGGGGGACCGCAAGGCCUCGCGCGAUUGGAGCGGCCGAUGUCGGAUUAGCUAGUUGGCGGGGUAAAAGCCCACCAAGGCGACGAUCCGUAGCUGGUUUGAGAGAACGACCGGCCACACGGGGACUGCGGCACGGCCCAGGCGCCUACGGGAGGCAGCAGGGGGGAAUUGUGGACAGUGGCGGCAACCCUGAGCCAGCCAGGCCGCGGGUGUGAAGAAGGCCUUCGGGUUGUAAAGCACUGUCGGCCGGAACGAAAUCGCGCGGAUUAAUAACCCGCGUGGAUGACGGUACCGGAAGAAGAAGCACCGGCUAACUACGUGCCAGCAGCCGCAGGAA
rnacentral:rRNA from 1 species